GAUGAACGCUGGCGGCGUGCCUAAUACAUGCAAGUCGAGCGAACAGACGAGGAGCUUGCUCCUCUGACGUUAGCGGCGGACGGGUGAGUAACACGUGGAUAACCUACCUAUAAGACUGGGAUAACUUCGGGAAACCGGAGCUAAUACCGGAUAAUAUAUUGAACCGCAUGGUUCAAUAGUGAAAGACGGUUUUGCUGUCACUUAUAGAUGGAUCCGCGCCGCAUUAGCUAGUUGGUAAGGUAACGGCUUACCAAGGCAACGAUGCGUAGCCGACCUGAGAGGGUGAUCGGCCACACUGGAACUGAGACACGGUCCAGACUCCUACGGGAGGCAGCAGUAGGGAAUCUUCCGCAAAGGGCGAAAGCCUGGCGGAGCAACGCCGCGUGAGUGAUGAAGGUCUUCGGAUCGUAAAACUCUGUUAUUAGGGAAGAACAAAUGUGUAAGUAACUAUGCACGUCUUGACGGUACCUAAUCAGAAAGCCACGGCUAACCACGUG
rnacentral:rRNA from 1 species